rnacentral:rRNA from 16 species
CGUGGAUUAUGCCAUUCAUAUCCAGGUACAGAUGAUCAAACUCGGGAAGCAACGCCUCAUUUGUUAUGACCUGGUUGAUUUUUGGAUAGCGCUCGCUGAUCCAGCGGUAAAACUUGGGAACUCCCAUGUUGCUAAAUUUCA